UUAAAUUGAAGAGUUUGAUCAUGGCUCAGAUUGAACGCUGGCGGCAGGCCUAACACAUGCAAGUCGAACGGUAACAGGAAACAGCUUGCUGUUUCGCUGACGAGUGGCGGACGGGUGAGUAAUGUCUGGGAAACUGCCUGAUGGAGGGGGAUAACUACUGGAAACGGUAGCUAAUACCGCAUAACGUCGCAAGACCAAAGAGGGGGACCUUCGGGCCUCUUGCCAUCGGAUGUGCCCAGAUGGGAUUAGCU
rnacentral:rRNA from 2 species